rnacentral:rRNA from 1 species
UACGGAGGGUGCGAGCGUUGUCCGGAAUCACUGGGCGUAAAGGGCGCGUAGGUGGCCCGGCAAGCGUGCGGUGAAAGUUCGAGGCUCAACCUCGAAUCGGCCGUGCGAACUGCUGGACUGGAGCACUGUAGAGGCAGAUGGAAUUCCGGGUGUAGCGGUGGAAUGCGUAGAGAUCCGGAAGAACACCGGUGGCGAAGGCGGUCUGCUGGGCAGUUGCUGACACUGAGGCGCGACAGCGUGGGGAGCAAACAGG